rnacentral:rRNA from 1 species
UACGAGGGGGGCGAGCGUUGUUCGGAAUUAUUGGGCGUAAAGGGUGCGUAGGCGGUUUUGUAAGUCUUAUGUGAAAUCUAUGGGCUCAACUCAUAGACUGCAUGAGAAACUGCAGGGCUUGAGUAUGGGAGAGGUGAGUGGAAUUCCUGGUGUAGCGGUGGAAUGCGCAGAUAUCAGGAGGAACACCGGUGGCGAAGGCGGGAUCCUGGGCCAGUACUGACGCUGAGGAGCGAAAGCGUGGGGAGCAAACAGG